rfam:Ornithorhynchus anatinus chromosome X1, whole genome shotgun sequence.
AGCAGCGUGGCUCAGUGGAAAGAGCCCGGUCUUUGGAGUCAGAGAUCACGGGUUUGAAUCCUGGCUCUGCCA